rnacentral:lncRNA from 1 species
UCAAAAACUGAACACGCUCCCACCCUUCUUUCCCUUUCCUCUUCUUCCUUCACUCUGAUUGGAUCUCCUUCCUUCCUGCUUUGAAAGAAUCUCCCAAACAAGCCGAAGUUGGGCGCAAGUGAGGUUUUGAAUCACCACCAAUGAUUCUUCACCUCUGCCCUUUUCUUCUUAUGGCUCUAUUAGAGUUUUUGAAAUUCAAGUCUGCCACCAUAUCCCUGUUCUCUCUCUCUAUUAAGUAAAGAUAUUGAUGAGCUAGAGGGAGGGUGGCUAUGGAGUUUCGAGACACCUAACUGGCGAUGGCAGCAAAGAGGUGACCAUGGUUCAAUGAGCGACAUGGUGGUGUUUUGUGGCCCGACGGAGUGCACCAUUCAAUCUGCCUCAUUCUCUGCUGAUUCUUCUCUCCCGCACACACAAAAUUGAAGUUAUGGCGAUGGUGAUGAAGAUGAGGAAGGAGAUCUUGAUGCAAAAGGAAUUAAUGGACAGAGCCAUGGAGAGAAAAAGACCAACAAUCUGUCAUACAACUCAAACCAAAAAUCCAUGGAGUUUCUUGCUUAAUAUGUGAGAUCUAGAAGCUGAGAUUAUCGCGUUAUCUCCAACAUCAUUAAUAUGUGAGAUUUGCUAAUAAGGGUUUUCAAAGGGACCAGAAUUUGCAGCUUCAUAGAAGAGGACACAACUUGCCAUGGAAACUUGAGCAAAGAAACAAGAAUGAAGUGUUGAAGAAGAGAGUGUACAUAUGUCCAGAGAAAAGCUAUGUUCAUCAUGACCCUUCUCGAGCUCUCGGAGACCUGACCGUAGUUGAGAAGCAUUAUAGUCGGAAACAUGGAGAAAAGAAAUGGAACUGUGAAAAGUGUUCAAAGAAGUAUGCGGUUCAAUCGGAUUAGCAAGAUUUGCGGUACUAGAGAGUACAAAUGC